rnacentral:rRNA from 1 species
AUUGAACGCUGGCGGCAUGCCUUACACAUGCAAGCCGAACGGCAGCGGGGGAGAAGCUUGCUUUUCCUGCCGGCGAGUGGCGAACGGGUGAGUAAGACAUCGGAACGUGCACUGUAGUGGGGGAUAACUAGUCGAAAGAUUAGCUAAUACCGCAUACGACCUGAGGGUGAAAGUGGGGGACCGCAAGGCCUCAUGCUAUAGGGGCGGCCGAUGUCUGAUUAGCUAGUUGGUGGGGUAAAGGCCAACCAAGGCGACGAUCAGUAGCUGGUCUGAGAGGACGAUCAGCCACACUGGGACUGAGACACGGCCCAGACUCCUACAGGAGGCAGCAGUGGGGAAUUUUGGACAAUGGGCGAAAGCCUGAUCCAGCAAUGCCGCGUGUGUGAAGAAGGCCUUCGGGUUGUAAAGCACUUUUGUCCGGAAAGAAAUGGCUCUGGUUAAUACCUGGGGUCGAUGACGGUACCGGAAGAAUAAGGACCGGCUAACUACGUGCCAGCAGCCGCAGUAA